AGGACGAACGCUGGCGGCGUGCUUAACACAUGCAAGUCGAGCGGAAAGGCCCUUCGGGGUACUCGAGCGGCGAACGGGUGAGUAACACGUGAGCAACCUGCCCCUGGCUCUGGGAUAGCCUCCGGAAACGGGGAUUAAUACCGGACAUGACCCUUGACCGCAUGGUUGGGGGUGGAAAGUUUUUCGGCCAGGGUGGGGCUCGCGGCCUAUCAGCUUGUUGGGGGGGUGACGGCCCACCAAGGCGACGACGGGUAGCC
rnacentral:rRNA from 1 species